CUCAAGUGCAACUUAAUCGCGCUAAAGAGUCUACAAAGUCUGCAGUCCUGAUGAAUUUGGAAUCUAGAGUAUGGUUCAAACUCCAUCUCGAAAAGCAUGUAUGUGAGGAAGCAGCCAAAGGAUUUCAUGAUCUGGAACAGGACUGGACUUAUCAGUUUCAAGUGAAGGAUCAGAUUGGAGCGUAGCAACUAUGAUUCUGAACCUAUGCUGCGUUCAUGCGGUAUAACAAUUAGCAAUAGCUUUACUCAAGUUGAAGGCCGUGUUCUACCAGCUCCUAAGCUAAACGUGGGCAAUGGAGAGGAUUUCUUCCCCCACAAUGGACGGUGGAGCUUUUAGAAUAAGAAAUUUGUUGAGCCAGCUAAGAUACAGAAAUGGGCUGUGGUGAACUUCUUUGCUCGGUGUGACAUGCGUGGGCUUAUAAGAGACCUGACUAGAUUAGCUGAAAUGAAAGGACUUCUCACCGAACAACCUUUUGACGUGUUUGAGGAAAGCCCCCAAUUUAGAAGAGCCUCUCCUGCUGUUAGAGUGGAUAAAAUGUUUGAGGAGAUACAGGCUAAACUACACAGG